UACAGAGGGGGCAAGCGUUAUUCGGAAUUAUUGGGCGUAAAGGGCGCGUAGGCGGCUCCGCAAGUCGGGGGUGAAAUCUUUCGGCUUAACCGGAAAAGUGCCUCUGAUACUGCGGAGCUCGAGGGAGGUAGGGGCGGACGGAACUUCCGGUGGAGCGGUGAAAUGCGUUGAUAUCGGAAGGAACGCCGGUGGCGAAAGCGGUCCGCUGGCCCUCUACUGACGCUGAGGCGCGAAAGCCAGGGGAGCAAACGGG
rnacentral:rRNA from 1 species